rnacentral:rRNA from 1 species
AGCGAACGCUGGCGGCAGGCCUAACACAUGCAAGUCGAACGAACCUUUCGGGGUUAGUGGCGGACGGGUGAGUAACACGUGGGAACGUGCCUUUAGGUUCGGAAUAACUCAGGGAAACUUGUGCUAAUACCGAAUGUGCCCUUCGGGGGAAAGAUUAAUCGCCUUUAGAGCGGCCCGCGUCUGAUUAGCUAGUUGGUUGAGGUAAUGGCUCACCAAGGCGACGAUCAGUAGCUGGUCUGAGAGGAUGAUCAGCCACAUUGGGACUGAGACACGGCCCAAACUGCUACGGGAGGCAGCAGUGGGGAAUCUUGCGCAAUGGGCGAAAGCCUGACGCAGCCAUGCCGCGUGAAUGAUGAAGGUCUUAGGAUUGUAAAAUUCUUUCACCGGGGACGAUAAUGACGGUACCCGGAGAAGAAGCCCCGGCUAACUUCGU